rnacentral:rRNA from 1 species
UACGUAGGUGGCAAGCGUUGUUCGGAAUUAUUGGGCGUAAAGGGCUCGUAGGCGGUCUGUCGCGUCGGGAGUGAAAACUCAGGGCUUAACCCUGAGCCUGCUUCCGAUACGGGCAGACUAGAGGUAUGCAGGGGAGAACGGAAUUCCUGGUGUAGCGGUGGAAUGCGCAGAUAUCAGGAGGAACACCGGUGGCGAAGGCGGCUCUCUGGGCCACUACUGACGCUGAGAAGCGAAAGCGUGGGGAGCGAACAGG